rnacentral:ncRNA from 1 species
UWWAAAAUUUUUUAUAAAUUUUAAAAAGUUUGAUUUUAGCUUUUAUAUUUAUUAUAURUUUAUUUUGCAUGUAAAUUUUUGUGKGAUUAAUAAAUUUAUUUAAAUAAUAUUUUAUNNUAUUUWAUUUUAAUUUCAGCAUUUAAUUUUAAUAAUUAAAGAAAUUUAGAAUUAUUAAUUAUUUAAAUAUAGGUAAAAAAUGUGCCAGCAACUGCGGUUAUACAUUUUAUGUAAAUAAAUAUUUUUUAUUUAAAUAAAAUUUAUUUAAUAUUAAAUUAAUGUAAUAAAUUUAAAUUAAAUUAAGUGAAAUUUUUUUUUUUWWAAAUAUUAUAUUARAGAUUAUAAAUAUUUUAUGAGAUUUUAURUAUAAACUAGGAUUAGAUACCCUAUUAUUUAAAAUUUAAAUUWAUUAUUAUAAAGGAUUAAUAGAUAUGGUCUUUAAACUUAAAAAAAUUGGCGGUGUUUAAAUCUAAUUAGGGGAACUUGUCUUUUAAAUGAUAAUCCUCAAGGUACCUUACUUUAAUUUAUUUAAAUAAAUUUAUUUAUUGCCGUUAUCAGAUUAUUUUUAAAGAAUAUUAAAUUUUCUAAUUUAUUAAUUAAGUAAUUAUUUCAGGUCAUUAUGUAGUUUAUAUUAAAGUUAAGAUGAGUUACAAUAAAUUUUAUUUAUAAUGAAUAUUAUAUUUGAAAUAUUUAAUUGAAAUUGGACUUAAUAGUAAAAUUUUAUAAAAAAAAAUUUUGAAUUUAGAAUUAAAUAUGUACAUAUCGCCCGUCACUCUCGUUUUAAGAUGAGAUAAGUCGUAACAAAGUAGAUAUACUGGAAAGUGUGUCUAGAAAGAUUUUUUAUUAUU